rnacentral:rRNA from 1 species
UACGUAGGGUGCGAGCGUUGUCCGGAAUUACUGGGCGUAAAGAGCUCGUAGGUGGUUUGUCGCGUUGUUCGUGAAAACUCACAACUCAAUUGUGGGCGUGCGGGCGAUACGGGGCAGACUGGAGUACUGCAGGGGAGACUGGAAUUCCUGGUGUAGCGGUGGAAUGCGCAGAUAUCAGGAGGAACACCGGUGGCGAAGGCGGGUCUCUGGGCAGUGAACUGACGCUGGAGGAGCGAAAAGCGUGGGGAGCGAACAGG